CAAAGGAAAGGCCUGCAACAGACACACAACCACAAUAUGAGUGUGGCUAAGCGAGCAGACCUUCUAAGGAUAGUGAGCCGCCUAAAAGAGCAAUGAAAUGAGCAAAACUCCAUUGGGUCAGCGCUGGGUGACACCCCAAGGGGCGGGGUUACCAUGAUGUCACUUCUAAAGGACCUCCCUCACCCUGCAUAUUCUGUAACUCUGUGUGGAUCCUUCAGUGGUUCACUGAAGUUUGGAGAGUUUUGCUCUUUUGGGGUCCUCGAGUUACAAUGUCUCGACAUACAACGUUUCGAGUUUACAAUGCUCACUCCCAUAAAAAACUUUAAAAAAUUGAGACAUGAGAAGGAAUAAAGUACAGAGAAGACACCCAGUAAGGGCAACGGAUUACGCCCCUUCUGGAUCCCUACCUAUAAAUCACCAGAAGGAGGCAGUCCAUUCUGAAAAGAACACACUGCAGGACAAAACUCCUAACUGGUGACUGACAUUCUGGGAAUUACAAAGCCUGGAGACUUCUCUCUUAGUUUUGGAUCUUUUUUAUUCCAUUUUGUGCCCAUAGUGUCCAUUUUUGUUCAUUUUGUUUAGUUUGAUUAAAUGUGGAAGGCCAGGAUCACACACCAACAUUUCCUCGUAGAACUUGCAGUCCUUUACUCGACCAUAGUCUGUAUGAAUUUACAUACUUGGUGGUAAUAAGACUGAUUGAAGAUUAUAUACUGCAACCUGAGGAAAAAUUGUACUUCUGCUGGACUUGUAUUCAUAGAAUUAGUUUAACCUGGCAGAGGCUGAAAUCUCACUUUUCAGGGCAGUUCUAAUAUAAUCAGCCAAAUACAAUGGAUGGGUGGGUUUUUCAUAUCUGCUAGUAGUAACACCAGACUGACUGGGCUGUAGUGUAAACUACAGGCAAAAAAACAAGAAUACAAAAAAAAAUAACAUGACUUUAGAAUAGGUGACUAUAGCUGUUGCAAAUUUCUAAGUUUGUUUUUUUCAAGCCAUUUGUUGACUGGAGCAUAAUCAACUGCAUUAUUCUCAGAUGAGUUAACUAUUGUGUACAUAUCGCCCUUCCAAAGAAGACAACAGUAAAACCUGUAAAUAGCCAAUUGGUUAAAUAUAAAAUAGCCAAAACAACACAUAGUAGAGUGUAGUCACAGCAUCAGGGCUUAUGAAGAGCAUACUUCUGUAACAAGUAAAACUCUUAGUAGUAAGUCGUAUUGCUGUUCAACUGUGAGAAAAAAUAUUCCAAGAAAAUUAAUGACAUGUUCAGAUAUGAGAAUUCACUUUCAUUCUCAUACAAGUUAUUUUUUAGUUAAAAGAAAUUCAAUGAUUAUUAUAGUGCUGCAUUUGGAAAUAAAAUCAACAAGGAGAAUGUGACUUGACAAUAUUAAAUACAUUGCCAUCAGUUAUGAUUUGUUCAUCAUUUCCUUUAAGAGCUGUUUUCUGUCUAAUCUUCACAUUUUUGUAUUCUAAGUUACACGGUUCUGGAUCAGACACGUGACAUAUUCUCACCCUCCCUAGAACAAGAUGCAUACUAAAAAAUAUGCAUUUAACAGUUACAUUAUGACAUAAAAAAUUCACAGAUUCCAUU